GACGAACGCUGGCGGCGUGCCUAAUACAUGCAAGUCGAACGAACCGCGACUAGGUGCUUGCACUUGGUCAAGGUGAGUGGCGAACGGGUGAGUAACACGUGGGUAACCUACCUCAUAGUGGGGGAUAACAGUCGGAAACGACUGCUAAUACCGCAUAGGACAUAGGAUCACAUGAUUCUGUGAGGAAAGGUGGCGCAAGCUAUCGCUAAGAGAUGGACCCGCGGUGCAUUAGCUAGUUGGUAGGGUAAAGGCCUACCAAGGCGAUGAUGCAUAGCCGACCUGAGAGGGUGAUCGGCCACAUUGGGACUGAGACACGGCCCAAACUCCUACGGGAGGCAGCAGUAGGGAAUCUUCCGCAAUGGACGCAAGUCUGACGGAGCAACGCCGCGUGAGUGAAGAAGGUCUUCGGAUCGUAAAGCUCUGUCGUUAGAGAAGAACAGCGCAUAGAGUAACUGUUAUGCGUGUGACGGUAUCUAACCAGAAAGCCACGGCUAACUACGUG
rnacentral:rRNA from 1 species